rnacentral:rRNA from 1 species
AGCGAACAGACGAGGAGCUUGCUCCUCUGACGUUAGCGGCGGACGGGUGAGUAACACGUGGAUAACCUACCUAUAAGACUGGGAUAACUUCGGGAAACCGGAGCUAAUACCGGAUAAUAUAUUGAACCGCAUGGUUCAAUAGUGAAAGACGGUUUUGCUGUCACUUAUAGAUGGAUCCGCGCCGCAUUAGCUAGUUGGUAAGGUAACGGCUUACCAAGGCAACGAUGCGUAGCCGACCUGAGAGGGUGAUCGGCCACACUGGAACUGAGACACGGUCCAGACUCCUACGGGAGGCAGCAGUAGGGAAUCUUCCGCAAUGGGCGAAAGCCUGACGGAGCAACGCCGCGUGAGUGAUGAAGGUCUUCGGAUCGUAAAACUCUGUUAUUAGGGAAGAACAAAUGUGUAAGUAACUAUGCACGUCUUGACGGUACCUAAUCAGAAAGCCACGGCUAACUACGUGCCAGCAGCCGCGGUAAUACGUAGGUGGCAAGCGUUAUCCGGAAUUAUUGGGCGUAAAGCGCGCGUAGGCGGUUUUUUAAGUCUGAUGUGAAAGCCCACGGCUCAACCGUGGAGGGUCAUUGGAAACUGGAAAACUUGAGUGCAGAAGAGGAAAGUGGAAUUCCAUGUGUAGCGGUGAAAUGCGCAGAGAUAUGGAGGAACACCAGUGGMGAAGGCGACUUUCUGGUCUGUAACUGA